UCCUCCUCCAGACUCUCUCACUCACUGCCUUGCUCACAGUGGGGUGAAGGUCAGCUAAGCCAGCCAGCCGGAGUCAGGAGCUGGGAAGACAGAAGAUCUGUGCUGCCACACCUCAGUGAAUUUCCUUAUAUCUCAGCGCUCCCCAGGGAUCUUCUGCUUUCAACUAGGCAGACCCGACAUUUCGGUAACAGUUUCUGGCGACCCAGAUGGGACCCUCCUAGCUCGGACAUCGGACUCUGGAUGGUUGUGGCAAACUAGGAGUGGCGCCACCGGGGUGCUUAGCCCCUCUUCCUCACUUCACCGUGGCCCCUGGGGUUCGUGCUCCGAUAAGUCAGCCCCGGACAUCAAAAAGCGUUUACAGCAACUUGAGGAGGCUGAAGGGAAAUCCCUGGAGGAACUGGAUCGUCCUCCGGUUACCUCAAAACCAACUUCCCCAGCUGUGUGCUGUUCUGACCCAGGCUUCAGAGGACUCGAUCCUGCCUGCGGACCCGAUCCUACUCUAGCAACUCAAACAGAAGGUUGCUAGGAUCCUAAGGCAGACAGCCACUUCAGGAGGAAGAGAGUGCGGAAGAAAUGAGUAACUUAUGAAAUGGGAUGAAAUUAAAAUUUACAUCUCCCUCUUUGGGACCCUGAUGAGAGAUGUAUGGUCACUGCUAGAAGAUGCAGGAUUUCACACAGAAUGCGACUGGGAAUAGUUCUACUAACUGCACCAUUAAUCACAGCAUACACCAGACUUUAUCCCCCACUAUAUACAUACUUGUAUUUGGAGUAGGUCUCCCAGCUAACUGCCUCUCGCUGUACUAUGGAUACCUACAGAUCAGGGCCAAAAAUGAACUGGGGAUCUAUCUGUGCAAUUUGACUAUAGCAGACCUGUUCUACAUCUUCUCUUUGCCUUUCUGGCUCCAGUACGUUUUGCAGCAUGACAACUGGACCUAUGACGCAAAUCUGUGCAAAAUCUGUGGCAUACUCCUGUAUGAAAACAUCUACAUCAGUGUGGGCUUCCUCUGCUGCAUCUCCAUUGACCGCUAUCUAGCAGUGGUACAUCCUUUUCGUUUCUAUCAGUUUCGGACAAUAAAGGCUGCUGUGGUAGUGAGCAUCAUAAUCUGGGGCAAGGAAAUUCUGAUGAGCUGGUUUGUCUUUAAGCAUGCUGAUAUUAGUAUGGAUGCAGAGAGUCAUAUAAUAUGCUUUGAACAUUAUCCCAUCAAAGAUUGGGAGCACAACAUCAAUUACUACCGCUUCUUUGGUGGCUUCCUUUUCCCCUUCUUCCUACUGCUCUUUUCUUACUGUGGCAUUUUACAAGUUGUCCGCAAGAGCCAUGGUACGCAAAAGAAGACAAAAAUCCAAAUUAAACGUCUAGUUUCAAGCACAGUUAUAAUUUUCUUGGUUUGCUUUGGACCAUACCACAUCCUGUUGGUAAUUCGCAGCUUGUUUGAGAACAGCUGCAUGUUUGCAGAGAAAAUCUUUAACAUUUACCACUUUUCUCUCUUGUUGACUAGUUUUAACUGUGUUGCUGACCCAGUAUUGUACUGCUUUUCCAGUGAGAGCACCUACCAGAAUUUUGUCAAAAUGAGAGACUCUGGUUUAACAUGCCUAAGAUGUUUAAGGACUAAAACCCAGGUAUCCUACCAGCUGAAAACUCUAGAAACCCUCAGAAAAAGCAACAGUGUACCAGCAGUUGAAGAGCCAGAGUUAUUAAACAAACUACAUACUGUCAAUGAAAUGAAAGACUCCUCCAUGGUCAGUAUAGACAGACUCUAGCACCCAUUAGAAAGGCAGACUGAUCUAAAGUUUCCAGGUCUAAGUUUGGGCUUCAGUCUUUGGUUUAUAAAUGUAUUGCAACUGCUUUACAUUCUAAAGCACUUAAUAAUUCAUCACUAUUAUAAGCAGAGCUGAAUUGAUACUCUUUCCACAGGGGGAAUUCCUUAGUUCCCUUGAGUAACCUGGGCCUUGACAUAGGGCAGGGAAAAUAUACACCAGGUCAGUUUAGCUCAGGUCACAUGUAUAUAUUACUGAUUCAGUAUAGCGCUAGUCAUGGGGAAGCUGCUUUUCUGAUGACUGGACUGGCUGAAAUAAGAUGUUAGUGGUGUGAAUUUUCCAUAAUGGUCUUUAAUUGCUGAUUGUUUGUCCAUGUAUUGACUUUAUGAGAAAGCUGUCAAACUCUGUGAUCACCUUGCUGAAAAGGUGGAAGAUGGAACAAAGUAUGUAAAAUGAAGUGAUAAACAUUUCCCAAAAGAA